rnacentral:piRNA from 1 species
GCGUGUGUCUGGACAGGGUCCUGC